UACGUAGGGUGCGAGCGUUGUCCGGAAUUAUUGGGCGUAAAGAGCGUGUAGGCGGCCAGGUAGGUCUGCUGUGAAAACUCGAGGCUCAACCUCGAGACGUCGGCGGAAACCAUCUGGCUAGAGUCCGGAAGAGGAGAGUGGAAUUCCUGGUGUAGCGGUGAAAUGCGCAGAUAUCAGGAAGAACACCCGUGGCGAAGGCGGCUCUCUGGGACGGUACUGGACGCUGAGACGCGAAAGCGUGGGGAGCGAACAGG
rnacentral:rRNA from 1 species